rnacentral:rRNA from 1 species
AGUGAACGCUGGCGGUAGGCCUAACACAUGCAAGUCGAACGAAAGCACAGUAAGAGCUCGCUCUUACGGGUGGCGAGGGGCGGACGGGUGAGACAUACAUAAGCAUCUACUUAUUCGGGGGGGAUAACGUGGGGAAACUUCCGCUAAUACCGAAUACGUCCUACGGGAGAAAGCAGGGGAUCUACGCAGCUUGCGUGUUACAAUGAGACGGAGCCGCAUUAGCUAGUUGGCGGGGUAACGGCUCACCAAGGCGACGAUACGUAGCUGAUCUGAGAGGAUGAUCAGCCACACUGGAACUGAGACACGGUCCAGACUCCUACGGGAGGCAGCAGUGGGGAAUAUUGGACAAUGGGCGAAAGCCUGACCCAGCCACACCGCGUGAGUGAAGAAGGUCUUCGGGUUGUAAAGCCCUUUUGUUGGGAAAGAAAAGCAGCAUGUGUAUCCCCCGCUGUUCUGACGGUACCCAAAGAAUAAGCAACGGCUAACUUCGUG